UACGUAGGGUGCGAGCGUUGUCCGGAAUUAUUGGGCGUAAAGGGCUCGUAGGCGGUUUGUCACGUCGGGAGUGAAAACUCGGGGCUCAACCCCGAGCCUGCUUCCGAUACGGGCAGACUAGAGGUAUGCAGGGGAGAAUGGAAUUCCCGGUGUAGCGGUGAAAUGCGCAGAUAUCAGGAGGAACAUCGGUGGCGAAGGCGGUUCUCUGGGCAUUACCUGACGCUGAGGAGCGAAAGUGUGGGGAGCGAACAGG
rnacentral:rRNA from 1 species